GUCUCAAGGCAUGCUGGGAAAUGUAGUUUUGGGGGCUAUAGGACCGAGGCAUGCUGGGAAUUGUAGUUCGGUGGGUUAUGGCACCGAGGCAUGCUGGGAGAUGUAGUUUUUGGGGUUAUCGCCCAGAGGCACGCAGGGAAACGCGUUUUGGGGCUGGGGGCGCGGUGCCGCGGUCCCUCACCCACGGAUGAAGGCGGGCACCGUGUCCCCGGGCUGCAGCCGCGCCAGCCACGUGGAGCAGACGCCGUGGUGCAGCGGGCCCUGGCCGUCUGCGGGCGAGAGGCACGGCCCUGGCACGCGGACCCCGGCCCGGGCAGCCCCACGGUGGGGCUGGGGGCUGGGACCCGCAGUGCCGUGGGACACGGGGGCUGCACGGGGCCGUGGGGACGGCUGCUGGGACCCCUGGGCUGCGUGGGGGGGCUGGGCAGGGUGGGACCCCGGGGUACCUGGCGGUGCCCUGGGGGCGUGGAAAUUCCUUGGGGGACCCCAAGGUGCCCUGGGGGCGCUGAUGGUGCCCUGGGGACCUGGAGGUACCCCAGGGAUUUUGGGGGUACCCCAGAGACUGGUGGUGCCCUGAGGGGGUGGAAAUUCCUUGGGGGACCCCAAGGUGCCCCAGGGGAGCUGAUGGUGACCUGGAGGUACCCAAGGGAUUUGGAGGUUCCCUGGGGACUGGCGGUGCCACGCAGCAGCCGCAGGGCUGGGGGGCACCAUCACUGAACCCCUGUCCCCCCCCACCCCGUCCCUGUCCCCGUCCCCGCUCACUCUCGCUGUGGUAGGUGACGACGGCCACGGUGAGGUGGAUCUGCCCGGGGUAGGGGCCGGGCGCAGAGCUGAUGGAGUAGUAGCGCGGCUGCAGCAGCGGCAGCUGGGUGAGCAGCAGGGGGGCCGGCAGCCCCACCGAGGGGAACUCCUGCAGCACCUCCAGCAGCGUGGGGCAGCGGAACCACUUCCAGUCCUCGUACAGCCGGGCGUCCUGCAGCACCCACCGCUGGGACACGCGCAGGGACCCCGCCAGCAGGGUGCCCGUGUCCCUGCAGCCCGGCACCACAGCAGCCCAGUAUCUGGUAUCCCAGUGUC
rnacentral:lncRNA from 1 species